GUGGCACUCCGACGUGUAACCAGAGAAAAAUGGCCGACGAAAACAAACCUCUUUUGAAACUCGGGUUGGAAGGCGGCGCUCAGGAUAGCGGUGGAGAGGAAAGCAUCAAGAGCGUCGAGGACGUAAAAGUAGUUGAUGUCAAAAAAUGGUCCCAAAAGUCCAAGAAAUAAAACAACAGCUAAAUCACCGAGAAGCCAAAGUUCUUCCAAACCAACGACUCCCAGGGGCGGUGAUAACCCAAAGGCUAAGACCAAAGAGGAUGAUUCACAAAUGGCGAGAGAUUUAAGAAGGGUAUGGAUGAAUCCCAUGUUAGCUGAGCUGGAAAGGAAAAUACAAGAGAAUAACAGAGUCAUGGAUGAAAUGAAUAGGAAGUGGAGAGAGGAAAAAGAAGCAGAAAGAAAAUUAAGAUUAAGUGAACACAUUCCAGAGCCACUGAAGGGACAUGGACAAAAUUUGGAAGACAUAAUUAAACAUUUGGAAGACCUUAUGGUUUAUGAAAAUUAUGUGGAUGGCCUAGAAGAACAAAAAUUAAUACCUGCAAAGUUAAGAUUACUGGAUGAAAAUGCAGAGGUGGCCAUCCUGUCGCAUGGCUUGUCAGCAUACGUCUCUCUGCUUGAACCCUCUCAUUUAAAACAUUUCACCAAUAAUAUAGUAGAGGACACUUCCCUGUGGCUCUCACGGAUGUUCAGAUUUGAUGAUGCAGCAGUGUUCUACCACGAGGACGAGAGAGAAGGCUUAAUCAGGCUGUGCCGUCUUGCCCUGCACAAAAAGUUUCCCAAAUACUUGGAUGAGGGCUAUGAAGCCCUAUACUCCAGGCCCCCUGUGAUAUACCUCAGCUCUGCAGCCAAAGCUGGGAUGGGAGAUUAUCUGUGUGCACAGCUUGGAUUGCCCAGUUCAUGUCUCAGUACAAUUCCCUGCAGCAUACAACCAGGCUGUCAGCAUAAAAUGGAUACAACAGCAUUAGAGCAACAAGUGGAGGAUGAUGUCACGUCAGCCAGGACACCACUACUGGUGUUAGGAUAUGCAGGUACUCCUGUCAUUGCUCAGGUUGAUGACAUAGAAAAGAUUCAGAGCAUUUGUAAAAAGCACCAGAUUUGGUUUCAUGUGGAAGGUCAUCACUUGGCCACCUUAGCCAUGUACUCUGUCCCAACCAAUGUGUCACCAGUGAAGACCGGAGACAGUAUCACUCUAAACCUGGGCUGCUGGCUGGGUCUGCCCUCUUUGCCUUAUGUGACCUUAUAUAAAACUGCUGACAGCACCCAGGCCUACCAUGCUGGCCUGACAUCUUUACAGACACACUACAAGCUCAGUUGUCUUCCCAUAUGGGUGUGUCUACAAAACCUGGGGCACGAAGGGGUGGUCAACAGGAUCAAAUUAUCAGUAGACUUGGCAGAGAAAAUGCAUGAAAAAUUGAUGGGACACAGUUCACUUCAGGAAGUGAGUAACACAGUUAAGCCUGCUGACAAGGACCCCAAUGAAACAUCUUUAAGGUCACGUAUCAGUAAAGCUGUUGUCAAUUUUUUGACUUAUGAAAUCUCUUCCCCAAGUGUGGUAUUUAAGUACAGUUGUUAUGCGUCAGAUGCGCCGCCAGAAGUAGCCUCUUAUGCAAAAAAUGCACCAAAACCCGUCAAAAUUCCAGCAAAGAUGCCCGAGCGUGCCCCAUAUGCAGCUCAAGAAACUUCUGCCAACCAUGUUCCCAGCAGCACUCAAUCAGAGGAUGGCGCUGAACCCCCCACUAUGAGUGUGGGCACAGAAGAGAGUUACAGACAUGAAGAUUAUUUUGAUGCCCUUAACAUUUGGCUUGCUGAAACUCUAAAGAGGGAAGUGUCUACAGUGCACCUGGACACCAUUGAAGUUCCAAAUGAAGGACUGUGUAUCAGGUUUUCACCACUGGAAAAUGCACAAGUCCAAGGAACAACAUUGGAAGAUAUGGAGGUGUGGGGGAAAUCUCUAGGCAAGCAAGUGUCCAUUCUGAAUGCCACAGUGAAGCAGAAGGAGAACUUCCAGGAGGUUGUGGAGGCCCAGGAUAACCUGAGGCUUGUCCACCUGCCCACCUGGGCUGGACUGGGAGCAGUGCAAUACAUUCCAGACCACUGGAUAGACAAAUUGGAUGCUCUGACGGCUGCUGCUAAAAGAGAGAUCAAUCACCUCAACACUGAACUAGUCAAACAACUCAAAUCUAGUGACACUGCAUUUUCAUUAGGUAGAGCAGAGGAUGGUUUGGUGUGUGCAAGGUUUGGUCUCAUCACUGAGGAGACAGACAUGGAAGAGCUGAUAGGACUGGUCUACACUACUGCCAAAGAAAUUGAAGAAUCAUCCAAAUUCCUGGAGAAGAUGUCAGAAAUUGUCAGGAAAGGUAUAGAGGCAGCCAAUGAAGAUCUGAAGAAAGAAAAUGAAGAAAAACUUAUACAGGAGGGCCUUUUACGCCAUGUUCCACUUGUGGGGUCACUGGUCAGCUGGUGGUCACCUCCUCCCAAGGAGACGGGGGUCAAGGGAAGGACAUUUAAUCUGGCGUCAGGUAAGGUCCACAGCACGGAGGAGACCUAUAAGUACCACAUGCAGAUCCAAGAGGCCUCCCCAGAUGCUCUUCAACCCAAGCCAAAGCAGGGCCCCCUGAAGGCUAACCUCAAACCAGCCCGGCACCACAGCACCAGCAGUCAGGGUUCCGUGGUAGAGAAUGGGCCUGCACAGGGACUCAAGGUGACAGAGUCCAGUGUGUCUAGCCUCAGUUCAGACUCUCACAGCAAGCCAGAGCAAGGAGUGGAGGGUGGAGAGGCCAGUCCUCCUCCCCAGCCAGAACCACCUGCUUCGCCAGUUCCCAAGGAGCAGCCUGCUGCGGCAGCAGAGAGCACUUCUUAAAUGCAACAAAGCAGCUACAAGAGGGGCAGGUUUUCAUAGUGGAAGAAAGACACUAAAACACAUGAUAUCAGCUGUGAAUGUUUGAGGGGUGGUGAAAACAACAAUUAUCAUUUUAAAUUAAUUGUGGGUGCAUAUCAAACAGUGGGGACAUUGCUGUUCAAGGUUUCUAAGAGGUUUAUUUUUACUGGAGGUUUAUUUCAUUACUAAGUCAAACUUGUCAAGGUUAUAAAAUAGAAAAAGGAAAAACAACCUGUAGUUUUAUUUAACAGGUAGUUACAGGGGAUCUUUUUAUGGUAUUUUAUGCAUGGUUUCUAUGCACAUCUACUGUUCAAGGGCACACUGCUUAUUAUAUCUGUGAUCAGAAAUUGACAAAGGAUAUUUGGCUGGUUCAUGUCAUUGGGAGAGAUUUAGCUGCGUCAUGGUGAUGCAUUAGUUCAUGGAUUCGAGUUAGAUAGGGCUGCAUCAAGGUGAGGUUAUGAGGCCAUGGGCGGAGUUUGCAGUUGUGGUGCAGAGGUGUCAUGCCGCGGGAGAAGUUUAGACUCGUGCUAAAGAGGUGCCAUGCCGAGGGAGGAGUUUGGAGUCAAUAGUGGUGUAUAUAUUGAUUGAAUACUUGGUGCAGAGUCUCUCAGGAUCAUGAUCAUCAUUGCAAGGCCUGAUGUCAUGAUGUUUUUGUAGAGGGAGAAAAAAGGGCUCUUAAGGGGAUUAAAAUUUUGGCAGGGGCAUGGUCUGUUAGCAAAAGACAACUUUAAGGUUUAUCAUCAUUUAAGACAGACAGGUAUUUUGAAACUGGUGUUGUGAAGAAUUACAGCAUUAAAAAGCUCUAUACUUUGAUUUUAAGGCAUAAUUCAUCUGAAUUUCACAUCAACUAUCAAAUCUGCAGGAAGGCCAUUGGAUAAGAUUUGGAUAGAAAUGAUUCAUCAAGGGGUCACUCAGUUACAUUUUGUUUUGCAAAAUUUGAAGACAUUUAUAACAUUUAGUGCCUUUUUUCUUUGACAAAUAGAAAAGUUGCUGUUAAGGUGCAUACAGUGUGAUUGUAAAAUGCAGUAAAACUUAAACAUUCCAAAAACAGUUUGUAUUUCACAUAUGUAAUCCUUGUCAUGGUCAUUGCUUUAAGGGUGCUAUUGUGUCUUUUCACUCAGUUUUUGGUUAUAUUUAAAAUGUAAAGUUCAAAUAGUAGACAAGUGAAUUCAAUUUUGAGAGCACAAAGCAACACAGACACCAAUUCAGCAGCUAAUUUGAGCUUUAAAUGUAACUUUUUUUUACUAAAUGUUACAUCUAGGAUGUUGUUGUUAAUUUCCUGACUGUGAUACAUAUUGCUAUUAUCUGCUGAAUACAUCUGAUGUAUUGUGAGUGUUUGAUAACUUUUUUGCUAACAUUGCUUUGAUAUGUAAUAUUCUCUUAGUAACACUCUUCCAAGAUUUGCAGUUCUCCACCGUCUGCAAGUCUAUGUAUGUCUAAAUGCAAACAGUUUUAAUGAACAUUUCAACAUGAAGCAGUGUUAUCCAGGUGUUGUAUGUAAUACUAAAUAGUAGCAGGUGUCUCAGUGAUCAGCAUCAAGUAAAGUUUCCAAAGUAGCCUUUUGUAAAGACUAGAAAAAGAUGUACAAUAAAAUACACCAAAAGUGAUGCCAGUGUAUUACUGGUAUGCAAGUAAAAUGACUGGAAAGGCUUUAGGUUAUUAUAUUUUUACAAGUUUUGUUAUGUUUGGUUGUUGCAGUAUUGUUGCAAUGGGACUUGUUAAAAUAAUAUUGUGGAGAUUUCAUGUUUUUUAAGUAUGUGUGGUGUUGAUUACUGUAAUAAGUAGGUCUAUUUCUGAGAUCUUAAUAGCCUUGUCUUCUUUGUUUUGUAUUCUGUUACUUGCGGGUUUUGAUAUCUGAUUUCAUAAUUGUUUUUUGUUUUUGUUUUUUGUUUUUUUCAUCAGCAGUAAUAUGGCAGGUUUAAAUUGAGAACCAGGGCACAGAUACAAAUAGGUCAUAGCAGUAUGAAAAUAAUAUUAUGGGAAUAAAAAUGUCUUUUCAUG
rnacentral:misc_RNA from 1 species